rnacentral:rRNA from 1 species
AUACGUAGGGAGCGAGCGUUGUCCGGAAUUACUGGGUGUAAAGGGAGCGUAGGCGGCGCGGUAAGUCUGGAGUGAAAGUCCUGCUUUCAAGGUGGGAAUUGCUUUGGAUACUGCCGCGCUUGAGUGCAGGAGAGGUUAUCGGAAUUCCCGGUGUAGCGGUGAAAUGCGUAGAGAUCGGGAGGAACACCAGUGGCGAAGGCGGGUAACUGGACUGCAACUGACGCUGAGGCGCGAAAGUGUGGGGAGCAAACAGGAUUAGAUACCCUGGUAGUCCACACUGUAAACGAGGAAUGCUAGGUGUAGGAGGUAUCGACCCCUUCUGUGCCGCAGUAAACACAGUAAGCAUUCCGCCUGGGGAGUACGGUCGCAAGAUUAAAACUCAAAUGAAUUGACGGGG